CUUAGCUCUGACAAGGAACGUUUUGAAUGAGCACCUGGCAUGGAAACUGGCACAAAAUGAACCUUUGCAAUUGUUUGGCACUGUGUGGAUUCUGAAGAUGUGGGGAGGAAGAAAACAAAGUACCCAUCCUCCUGAUCCCUGCCUCCUAGUGGAAGAAGACUGAGAAAGGAGAAAUAACCAGAUAAAUGGUAUGGCAGAUGGUGAUAAGCACUAAGAAGCUCUGCCUCGAGUCUACUGUUCCCCCUCUGCCCAGUAAUUACCAUCUGAUCAUCUAAGGGAUUUCAGAACCCAACUGCUCAAGCCCAUGAAGACUCCUUGAUCUAAGAGAAGUAAGUGACCAAGUUCUGAAGAGCCCUGUGAAGAAGGCCACAGAGCAGGGGACUGAUGUCUCCAGCCAGAAGCCAUCUCGAUCAUGCUAACAACCAUGUGAGUGAGCUUGGAAGUGGAUUCUCCCUAAGUCAGUUCUCAAAAUGCCUAGAGCUCUAGCCAGCACUAUGAUUGCAGCACCGUGAGAAACCCGGAGCUAGAAGGCCCAGCUAAGCUGCAUCCAAAUCUGUGAAUACAUUUUUGUUGUUCUUAAGCCUCUAUAUUUUGGGACAAGUUAUAACAUAGCAAUAGAUAACAGAUAUGACUAGCAAAGCAGUGAGAAUGAAGAGAACAUUCAGGAAUCUGACAUUCAGGGAUGUAUAAUCUUGGAUUAAUUUGCUUUGAAGCCAUGUUGGGGGGAAAAGAUCCCAUCUUCAGUAUUCUUUACCGUUGCCUCCCCUCACACAUACUUUCCAUU